GCCGAUGCUAUCGAUGUGGCAUGGAACAGAGAAAAAGCCCACCCACUCUGCUGUUUCCAUCGCCGGCUCCACCCCCUGCAUCCACCCGCCGUCGGCGCCGCUCCUUGCUCCCACGCACCGCUGGCCCCUGCCUCCUUGCUUCCACGCGCCGCCGGCUCCGCCCCCUGUUUCCACCCGCCGCCGGCAGCCGGCCCCUGCUCCCACGCGCCGUCGGCCCCUGCCUCCCUGCUUCCACGCGCUGUCGGCUGCGCCCCCUGCUUCCACCCGCCGCCGCCGCCGCCCCUCUGCUUCCACCGCGCCACCGGCCUGCCUCCCCAUUGCUUCCACCGGAGCGCCGCCCCCUGCUUCCACCGCGUCGCUGGCCCACCUCUCUGCUGCUUCCACCGCGUCGCCGCCCCGCACACUGGUUGCCAGUCGUGUGGCCGCCCCUUGCCCAACCUCCUAGUCGCCGGUGCCAUGGCCGCGCCACCGCUUCGCAAGCCUCCGUUCAACGACAUAACACCAAGCCGUUCGAUGCCGCGGCUCGGGAGAAUUCUCAAGCCACAGAAGGUCCCAGGACAUUCACCGUCGGCACCAUAGUCCGUUCACCGACGCAAAGAUGAGGUCUAGCCAUCGUCACCCACGACCGUGCACUCGCAUCUCUCCAGCUUCAAGUACUGUCCUCCUCUAGCUGCAGGUCGCGUUCUCCUCCAGCCGCAGACCAAUGCUAUGAUGAACAUUCAAGGCAGCAAGCACACCACAGGUCGCAGCGCCGCCGUUGAUCACAUGUGCACAUCCGUGCGAUUGAUGUGUGUGUGCUUUAGGUAUAACUACUGCAGGACUUCAGAAAUCUGAACAAACAAUGCUCAAACCAAUAGCUAAUGUACGUCUGAUGUCAAGUUUCUCUAUAUGGUUCGCAGUCCAACUGCUGUAUUCGGCUGGGCUGCUCAUGUGACGAGCUCCUCUUCCAGGUCCGGCAGCCCCCUGUACUUCCUCAAUCUUUCAAAGUUUGAUCCUUUUUUUGCAGCAUGCUGAAAAACAGGAUCCAACAUUUAUGAAAAAGAGAUGAAUUUAGAGGAAGAUGCAGCACUGGAACGCAGAAGACUCAGUUCACACAAAAAAUGAAAAAAUGGCAGGAACAGGCAGCAGUUUUCAAAAAUGAAGAUGGAGAUGUGAGCAUGUAUACAUAUGUUCUGGAGACACUAGACUUAUCUGGUGGUGUGUGCGUGCUGCUGUAUCCUCUUCCGGCCACUCUAAUCUACACCCUCAGUACAAGCCGAUGCAUCGCCAAGGUACACUGGAAUGAAUAUGUGUUUCUUCUGUGGUGAUGAUUUUGGGAGUAAAAUGGGAAAUUUAACAAAAGAAAUAUAAGAGUGCUUAGAUCACUAAAGUAGUGAUCUAAAAUGCUCUUAUAUUUGUUUACAGAGGGAGUACUCAAGUCCAUCUUGCAAACGAGUAGCAUUUCAAUAGUGCAAACAUGCAUCAAAUUAAAAAAAACCGAGCCUGACUUGAAGCAAAUUCAUAUCUAAGUGUUUAUUUCAUAGCUCAUCGAUACUCAUAUAAGCCCGUGCAUAUCUGGGUGUUUAUUACUUCCAACUCUGAAGCUUGACAUGCAUAUUUGGGGAUGGUUUCAAGUACUAGUUUGGAACUAUAUCUAACCGAUACUAUAAAAAAAUUUAGCAGUUCGACAGGGGUGCGGGGUUCAGUUCGACGAUGACAAGCUAGGCAGCCGGCCUUUAUCGUGAACUGGCACAGUUUGAUCUUGUAAGAAAUGGAAAUUCCCUGAUGUUGAGUGUGUCAGUACAUUUGCUUGGCCGCUUUGCUACUCUAGUUAGUAACAUAUCACUUGCUAAAUCAAAAAUAUUUUGUUGUUCACUUUCCUGUGUUUUGUUGGAUAAUUCUCAGGCUUUCUUUCUCUGAGAGGUACAAAAAUCAUAGUGCUUAAUAUACCGAUGUGUGUGUUAUACUUGAAUUAAAUAAAGUUAGAGGAGAAAGUGCCCCUAUUCCAUUACUUUGAGAAGUACAAGUACACCUUUCUGAUAGUACAGUGCAGGCCCGGUGCUGGCCCUGCACAAAUGGCGUCUUUAGCUCACCACGCUACCUCCCUCCCGCCGGUGGCUCUCCGUCCCUAUUCAAAAUUUUCCAGUGCGUCUUUAUAUUUUGUUCAGAUCAACUACUUGCUGGUCAUAAGUCCAAUUUCAUCUGUGUUUCCAUGUUCUUCCUAUAGCAUAAGUUGAUUGGCAUUACUGUGACACUGAUCAAGCCAACUGCGUGUAUUUAGUGAUUAAGGUCAUUUGGAAAAAACUUUUACACUUGUUGUGAUGCCUUACAAUUAAGACAUUUUUUAUAUAAACAUUGUUGCAACAUGAAUGUCAAGGAAAAGCAUGUGAAAAUGCCCUCUAUAGGAGAAAGGCUUCUACAGAAAAUACUGUUGCAACAUUUUAGGCAUGCGAUUACAAUUUUUUUGGCAAUUUAUUCUAAUUGGUGCGUUCAGAUUAGUAAUAUAUAGAGAAAUUGUUUUGGUAGUACCAUCAAUCCACCGUUUGUCUAAUUAAACAGAAAUACACAACGGAAAGCAAAAUGUUUUAACUAGUUCAACCCUGUAGGUAAUUACAUUGUAUAGAGGUUGCACCAAUUACACUCUAUAGAGGCUACAUCAGUUCAGUACAUCAGUUCACCUUGAUUAAAAUACAGAAGUGCGCCGGCAAGAUUUCGAUCAGUUCGCUUAUAAAAAAAUAGGAAGUUGGUAGUGUAAAGAAACCGGAGAACCAAUGUCAGCCUAGGUAACUCCACACAAGUGCACCCGUUAGAAACAAAAGGUUCUGCAUGUCACUGUCAUACCCUGCAUAAUGGAAAUGGAUGCAGAGUAGGAGUGAAACAGGGAAGGGGAAUUGUUGCAGGGGCAAGUGUUGUGGGCAUUAGCUGCUAUGGUGCAUCUUAUCCAGUUAUUGCUUGGUCUACAUGCGGCCAUUGCGAGGUUCAGCUUGGUUGACAAAAGUAAAACCAAAUUUGGGUGUGUGUGAGUGUGUGUGUGUGUGUGCAAGUGCAACCGUGACUUGCAUAUGGUGUACAAACAAAGUUAUUUUGGUUUUCAGACCCAGAAAAAGUUCAAAAAGAGUAUAUAGCCUGGGAAGUGGGAAGUACAAGAGGCAAAAGUUACCGAGUUCAACAAAAACAAAAAAUUUUCAGAAGUACAAGGGAAAAGAUGGAGAGGUUGGACUACUCACGACUGUUGUUGUGGAGCCGUGGCGCAUCGACGAGCUCCUGCAGAGCCACGAGCUGCGGAACCGACGAGCCGGCUGCCUGUCAUAGUUCCACAAAGGUUAAAAAUAGUUGCUAAUUAAUUCCACAAAGGAUUUUGUAUGAUCCAUAGCCAUCAGGCGAGCAGUUUAAGGCCUACUGCGUGAACCGUCCAUCGUCUUAUAUGCAUGAGCUUGUUGUCUCGAUGCAUCUAGCAUCGGAGUAUCUCCUCCCCCUUGCCGCACACACAUGUCGGGCAGUCGAGCUAGUGUUGUUUGUGAUUGCUGUCAUUGGACAAAGGAUUUGUUCUGUAACUCUGUACUGACGGGACCUUCAACAUAUAUGGGGUUUAGAAUUUGUUUGUAACUCUGUACUAUCGGGACCUUCAGCAUAUAUGGUGUUUUCAGUAUUCUGAUCUGUAGACCAAAAA